AAAACCCUAAAAGGAGUGGUCGCCCUCUUUCCCAUGCUUCUAAAGUAAUAAAAAAUAUUAUGAUGAUUUAAUGCUCCUUGAGAAAAAAGAACGGCAUUUUUAUUGUCUUUCUCUGACUUACUUGGUCCCCUUAGUGAAUUCAAACCACUUAAAAUCUUGGAAAUAAAUAAAAAAGAAACGAAUAAAAAGAAAUAAGUUGCUAGAAGAAACCUCAAAAACUUAACUUUCUCUCUCCGGAAACAUGCUCUCCAUCUCUCUCUCUCUCAACUAUAGAAAUGUCCCAGAUUCCGGCAAAAACCAAGGAUGGGACGGCGGCGCGCACGGUGACCUGGUCGGCGAAGUUCAAAGGAAAUCCCUUUAUAGGGCUAACCUGUCCACUGAGUUAAAAAUGAACUAAAAAAAAAAGAAAAUGCAAGCUUAAACUCUUCCAAAUGUGCGAUUGGAACUACAACUCUAGGUUUAGAAAAAAAAUGUUAAUAAAACACUACAACGAACAUGCAAUCAACAAAAAUGGUAAAGGGGGAAGUAACUACACCAUUCAAGGUUCUGACUACAAGCAAAAGAGAUGCAAAAGAGUCUUAGGUGUACCAGAUCGGUGCUCCUCCGAUGGGUCUCUCCGGCAAGCUUCAAAUCUUCAAUUUGUUGACAGGUUUUGGUUCCUCUUGGUAAUAAAGCAAAAAUGGUGCUUAGGUGGAAGUUGAAAAUGGAUUGUUGGUGUAGAAGGAUCAUGACUUGAAUAUGGCUUAGAAAGGCUCAAAGAUGGCUUGGUUAACAAGCUUCAACACUUUAGUAGCAUUAGGUUCUUGGAUUCAUGAAUGGUGGAAUGCAAAGCUUAAAAGGGGUCGGUUUUGGUCAAGGGAGUGGUCACUCAAGAAUGAAUUUGGGUGUCCUAAAGGAAGUUUGAAUGAAUGAAUUCAAAAAUUAUGAUGAGGGUGUGGAUUGAAGAUUGGAGAUUAGGGAUAGACCUUUAGAUAUUUUAGGUCUUGGUAGAAUUUGAUUUGUCUCAUGACAAUGUAAAAAAAAACUGUAUAUAUUUGCAACAUUUAAUGUAAUUUGUCACAAAUGACAUACUUUCCAUUUUGUAAAACAAACUUGGUUGCAUCAAUGCAAAAUACUUACACAUAA